rnacentral:rRNA from 1 species
UGCAAACUCGGUGACAUCGUGCGCAGUAAUAUAGGUGUGUAAAUGGUUGUUCGAAAUCACUGGGCGUAAAGUGUGCGGAGGUGGGGUGGUAAGUCAGAUGUGAAAGCGCGUAGCUUGACCUCGGAACUGCAUCAGAUACGACCAUGCUAUAGUACUGAAGAGGUGACUAGAAUUCUAUGUGUAGCAGUGAAAUUCGUAGAUAUCGAGAUGCAUACCAAAUGCGAAGGCAGGUCACUGGGCAGUUACUGACACUGAGGCACUAAGUCCAGGGGAGCGAACGAGAUUAGAUACCCCAGUAGUC